rnacentral:rRNA from 1 species
GACGAACGCUGGCGGCGUGCUUAACACAUGCAAGUCGAACGGAAAGGCCCUGCUUUUGUGGGGUGCUCGAGUGGCGAACGGGUGAGUAACACGUGAGUAACCUGCCCUUGACUUUGGGAUAACUUCAGGAAACUGGGGCUAAUACCGGAUAGGAGCUCCUGCUGCAUGGUGGGGGUUGGAAAGUUUCGGCGGUUGGGGAUGGACUCGCGGCUUAUCAGCUUGUUGGUGGGGUAGUGGCUUACCAAGGCUUUGACGGGUAGACAGCCUGAGAGGGUGACCGGCCACACAGACUGUGAGAGAGGCACCGGCCAGACUCGUGCGGGAGGAGGGAGAAGAGUGUACAAGACGAGGAGCGCAGACGCAGCAACGCAGCGCGGGGUAAGACGGGAUGCGGGUAGUAAAGUAAUGUCGCCUGUCACGAGGCGUGAGUGACGGUACCGGGUAAAGAAGCUCCGGCUAACUACGUG